UCGGACUGUAGUCUGNAACCCGACUACACGAAGCUGGAAUCGCUAGUAAUCGCGAAUCAGAAUGUCGCGGUGAAUACGUUCCCGGGUCUUGUACACACCGCCCGUCACACCAUGGGAGUCGGGAAUGCCCGAAGUCAGUGACCCAACCAUAUGGAGGGAGCUGCCGAAGGCAGGUCUGAUAACUGGGGUGAAGUCGUAACAAGGUAUC
rnacentral:rRNA from 1 species